rnacentral:rRNA from 1 species
CCAGACUCCUACGGGAGGCAGCAGUGAGGAAUAUUGGUCAAUGGGCGCGAGCCUGAACCAGCCAAGUCGCGUGAGGGAAGACGGUCCUAUGGAUUGUAAACCUCUUUUGUCGGGGAGCAAAAGACGCCACGCGUGGCGUUCCGAGAGUACCCGAAGAAAAAGCAUCGGCUAACUCCGUGCCAGCAGCCGCGGUAAUACGGAGGAUGCGAGCGUUAUCCGGAUUUAUUGGGUUUAAAGGGUGCGCAGGCGGAUUUUUAAGUCAGCGGUCAAAUCGUGGGGCUCAACCCCAUCCAGCCGUUGAAACUGGGGAUCUAGAGUGUGCGAGAGGUAUGCGGAAUGCGUGGUGUAGCGGUGAAAUGCAUAGAUAUCACGAAGAACCCCGAUUGCGAAGGCAGCCUGCCGCAGCGUUACUGACGCUGAAGCUCGAAAGCGCGGGUAUCGAACAGGAUUAGAUACCCCAGUAC